GAAGGGGAGCGUCGGGGAGCGUCGGGGAGCGUCCCUGGAGAGCCCCCUCACCGUCCGCACCCACGGAAACCCGAAGCAGAACGAUUAGUGUGCGCGCAGAUGUAAGUCAACAAUGCGCAACACAGGAUCGAAUACCGCGUUAUUAUGUACCGAUUCCACAGCACGGACGGCAAACGCGCCAGCGGAAAGGAGAAGCUUCUAAGUGCAGGCAGACGACACAGGUCUAGGCAGUUACUUUUUCUCAUUUCGAGUAUUUGUUCUGGGCGGAAACUCUAAAGAGGCUGCACCGGGCACGCCGGCCACGACCACGCCUGCGGCCACCAGGGGGCGGCAGCGCCCCGCCGACGAGCCGGCGGCCGCCCUGCAGGGGCUCCCGCUCCCUUGCACCAAGAGGUCAGCCUGGACUUGGGGACAGCACCAUCCAACUGAUCGUUGUGGAUGUCCCGCCUGGACUCAAACAGCGGAGAACCAGCCUCUAGCUCCCUUACGGAGGCACCUAAAUAAAACAUGCCACUAAGUA